rnacentral:rRNA from 1 species
GACGAACGCUGGCGGCGUGCUUAACACAUGCAAGUCGAGCGGUAAGGCCCUUUCGGGGGUACGACGAGCGGCGAACGGGUGAGUAACACGUGGGUGACCUGCCCUCAGCUCUGGGAUAAGCCUGGGAAACCGGGUCUAAUACUGGAUAUGACUCCAAGACGCAUGUUGUGGGGUGGAAAGCCUUGUGCGGCUGAGGAUGGGCCCGCGGCCUAUCAGCUUGUUGGUGGGGUGANGGCCUACCAAGGCGACGACGGGUAGCCGGCCUGAGAGGGCGACCGGCCACACUGGGACUGAGACACGGCCCACGACUCCUACGGGAGGGCAGCAGUGGGGAAGUCUUGCGCAAUGGGCGAAAGCCUGACGCAGCGACGCCGCGUGAGGGAUGACGGCC